rnacentral:rRNA from 1 species
AUUGAACGCUGGCGGCAGGCCUAACACAUGCAAGUCGAGCGGAUAAAGGGAGCUUUCUCCUGGAUUCAGCGGCGGACGGGUGAGUAAUGCCUAGGAAUCUGCCUGGUAGUGGGGGAUAACGUCCGGAAACGGGCGCUAAUACCGCAUACGUCCUGAUGGUGAAACUGGGGGAUCUUUGGACCUCACGCUAUCAGAUGAGCCUAGGUCGGAUUAGCUAGUUGGUGGGGUAAAGGCCUACCAAGGCGACGAUCCGUAACUGGUCUGAGAGGAUGAUCAGUCACACUGGAACUGAGACACGGUCCAGACUCCUACGGGAGGCAGCAGUGGGGAAUAUUGGGCAAUGGGCGAAAGCCUGAUCCAGCCAUGCCGCGUGUGUGAAGAAGGUCUUCGGAUUGUAAAGCACUGUAAGUUGGGAGGAAGGGCAGUAAGUUAAUACCUUGCUGUUUUGACGUUACCAACAGAAUAAGCACCGGCUAACUACGUG